ACGUUGACGAUUAUCAACGUUGUUGUUGUUUUCGCGUUAUUUCCAAGGGUCGAUUAUUCCAUGCUUCCGAGUUUGUUUACAAAAUAACUGUCGGAUCUUAGUUUAGCUUCGAGAAUUCAUCAGGAACAAAGCGUUCCGAUACUUCUAAUCCGCGUCUUUUCUCCUUGCCUUCGUGCGUACUGUGUUUGUUUGUGCAUUGGGUGUUGUGCGUGAUUUUCACCGUAAAAAAUAGCCGAUUUGUAUCUCAAAGCCUAUUUCAUGUGCGACGAGAAAAACGGUCGCCGGAUCUCCAAAUAUUUUUUUGAAGAAGGAAGGAAGGAUGAGGAGAGUGGAAAUUCACAACUCGUUGAAACUUUCGGGAAAACUACGUCGCAGACAAAAAACUUUGUGUCACCACGGCGAUGACGAUGAUCAUCUUUGCACGAGGCAUUCGGGAGAAUGAACGGAAUUGAUGUAUGGUACGUUCGGUUUACGAAGAUGACGUCGAGGUGCAUCCUGAUAUUUCUGCGUUGUUGCUGGUCUGUUUGGCGACGUCAUCAGACGACGACGAGGAGGAUGACGAUGAAGUGGAGACAAUUUUCUUGCUGCUAGAAUCGUAAGCCUUUCGCGAACGCCAGAAGUCUGCAAUAAAGAAGACGGGACACGAUUAAAGGGGUUAAACAUUGAUGGUUGAAUUCGAUGUUUUACACGCGUGGAGCUCCGAAUGUGUUCCCGCUUUUGUGAAAAUUCCAUUUCACUAAUUUGCCGAGGCACUUUUCUCGUGCGGCCUAUAAUUUUAACGGACUUGGGAAGUCUGUAGGGUGAUAAGGAACGCGACAAGUAUCGAGACCGACACUUUCAUCGAGAGAUUAAUUCGACUGCGACGCCGUAAAUCAGAAUUCUUCUCAAUUAAUGUCUGACUCACGCGUCUUUGGUGGUCAUCGCACCACACGAUGCGGCAGAUCGGCAUGGAAUGGCAUUGAAUUGAGAGUAAAAUUUCCAAUGAAUCCAACUCGGCUAAAUCUUCAACGGUUCCAUGUAUUUCAUUACAUUGGCGAAUCGACGACACGGAGAAAAAUUGUAGGUUUCCGAGAAAAAAUGCUUCUAUACGAUCAGAUAAAUUCAUAUGAAAUUUUAUCUCCAAUUUGACAUGAUAAAAUUAUAUAAAAUUAUCACACCCAUACAAUUUUAUAUUAUUCUUUAUAAGUUUAAAUAAAUUUUAAUAAUUUUAUCCAACUUUAUAAAUUUGCAUGAAAUCAUACAGAACUUUGAAAGAAACUUAGGUUUGACAUAACCUUAAAUAAUUUCAUAAAUUUGGAUAAAAUAUUAUAAAGUUAUAUGAAAAAAUAUAAAAUUAUACGCAUAUAAUUUUUCAGAAUUUUGUUAGGUUAAAUUCGAGGUAACAUUUCUUAUAAAUUUAUCUUAUCGUAUAAAAAUAUUUUCUUACCGGGAUACCGUGUUAUUAUAUUCAGCGAAUAUAAUACAAACCGCUGACCAGAUAUCAUUAGUUAGAUUAUACAAGGAAUCUACUUAUCUCAGUUUUUUUUCUUUGAAGAAAGAAAAAUUAAAAAAAAAAAACCAAUUUACAUUACUCCGAGUCAAAACCACACUCACUUACUCAUGUAAUAAGCAAAAUGGGCAAUUUAGAUGAGAC